rnacentral:rRNA from 1 species
CUGUGCCGCAGCUAACGCAUUAAGCGCCCCCGCCUGGGGAGUACGGGCCGCAAGGCUAAAACUCAAAGGAAUUGACGGGGGCCNGCACAAGCGGCGGAGCAUGUGGCUUAAUUCGAUGCAACGCGAAGAACCUUACCUGGGCUUGACAUGCAGGGAAAUCCAUCAGAGAUGGUGGGUCCGUAAGGGCCUUGCACAGGUGGUGCAUGGCUGUCGCCAGCUCGUGUCGUGAGAUGUUGGGUUAAGUCCCGCAACGAGCGCAACCCUCGUCCUAUGUUGCCAGCGAGUAAUGUCGGGGACUCAUAGGAGACUGCCGUGGUCAACACGGAGGAAGGUGGGGAUGACGUCAAGUCAUCAUGCCCCUUAUGUCCAGGGCUGCACACAUGCUACAAUGGCCGGUACAAAGAGCUGCGAUACCGCAAGGUGGAGCGAAUCUCAUAAAGCCGGUCUCAGUUCGGAUUGGGGUCUGCAACUCGACCCCAUGAAGUCGGAGUCGCUAGUAAUCGCAGAUCAGCAACGCUGCGGUGAAUACGUUCCCGGGCCUUGUACACACCGCCCGUCACGUCACGAAAGUCNGUNACACCCCGAAGCCGGNGGCCCCAACCCCAUUGUUGGGAGGGGA